rnacentral:tmRNA from 1 species
GGGGGUGAACGGUUUCGACUCCGAAUGUUGAUCAAGGUGAAGCGUGCCGAGGAAGGCGACAAUGAUCUCGUUAACCACGUGUCGCAAAAAAACAAGUGCCGUUGAUACGCGCACUGACGUAGCUCUCGCCGGCUGAGCGAGUAAUGCGUCUGUCGGUCCGGGAUGUUCCCGCCCCGGUUACCGGCAUCAGCUAGGGAACUCACCUACUAGCCCGGUCGCGGAGCUGGUAGGGACACCAAACAGCGACUGGGAUCGUCACACCGGCUAGUCCGCGCGACCGGUGGAUCCGAGUAGAGGCACAGCGGACUGCGCACGGAGAAGCCCUUGUGAAGCAACGGAGGACCCGGGUUCGAUUCCCGGCACCUCCACGU